rnacentral:rRNA from 1 species
AUUGAACGCUGGCGGCAGGCCUAACACAUGCAAGUCGAGCGGAUGAAGGGAGCUUGCUCCUGGAUUCAGCGGCGGACGGGUGAGUAAUGCCUAGGAAUCUGCCUGGUAGUGGGGGAUAACGUCCGGAAACGGGCGCUAAUACCGCAUACGUCCUGAGGGAGAAAGUGGGGGAUCUUCGGACCUUACGCUAUCAGAUGAGCCUAUGUCGGAUUAGCUAGUUGGUGGGGUAAAGGCCUACCAAGGCGACGAUCCGUAACUGGUCUGAGAGGAUGAUCAGUCACACUGGAACUGAGACACGGUCCAGACUCCUACGGGAGGCAGCAGUGGGGAAUAUUGGACAAUGGGCGAAAGCCUGAUCCAGCCAUGCCGCGUGUGUGAAGAAGGUCUUCGGAUUGUAAAGCACUUUAAGUUGGGAGGAAGGGCAGUAAGUUAAUACCUAGCUGUUUUGACGUUACCAACAGAAUAAGCACCGGCUAACUUCGUG